GCAAUAAUACUAAUAACUAUACAAUUAAUAAGAAAAAAUAAUAAUGAAAAUUAAGAAAUGCAAAAAUAACAUUUCUAUUGAUUGUAAGCUCAUGUGAAUAAGUGUUUUCAAAUUUUGAAAUAAAUUCUUAAACAUUUGAAUGUUUUAGGUUAAUUUGAAGGUGGAACCAGCGCCAGAAAGAAGCCGAAAAAAUUUAAUAAAAAGAAAAAAAACUUGUUGCAGCCCUGAAGUUGUUUUCAAAGAUUGCCGAAGUACAGAUAUCACUACAAGCAAGCUUAUGCCAUCAUAGACAUAUGUAUUUUCAUUGAAGGCGAGAGGUAUUAAAAUAACACCAAUCUUAACCGCCCACCGAUUCGAAUAACUUACAUAUUUCAAAAGUAACAUUGAAGUCUCGCGACUCGUACGAUCAAUGAGAAUUAUCUACGCAGAAAUAAAGCUCUACUUCAAGCUGCACUUUGGCGGGAUUUCAUUCAUUAUAGCCUAAACCUAGUUUAGCGGAUUUCUUGCCUGAUAUAUUCACUUCGAAAAAAUAAAAGAGCUUAUUUAUACUCAAGAAGAGCUGAUACACUGCUAGGCUUUUCGAAGCGAAGUAUAUUGAAGUCCCUCUUUGUAUCAAGUAAGAAAGCUAUUAAGAGCGUUUUUGGAACCUAAAAGCACUUAAAAGAAGUUGCGAUAAAAGGAAGAUGCUGCGCUCGAGUAAACUUAACCAUGACAGUUCCCACAAAGAAGAAGUCUAACCCCAAAACCAGUUCUCGCGAAUGAUUAGUCAUUACUAUAUAGAUAAGUACAUUAAUUUAAAUAUUAUACUGCGAAAUUGAACGAAUUAGGUGGAAAAAAUCUCUGCGAAUCGGCAUGACAACGAAUUGAAUCUUGCAUGCUGAAUGAAAAGCCUCGUAUUAUACAACAAAAAUCUGGCUCAUUCCUGUAAAUCUAUGAAACAACUCGUAUCAGCCACACGUUUUUUUGGUACCUCUGGUUUGCUGAGUAAAACAAUGGCGGAGAGCUUGCUUGUAGAAUGGGAUCUUAGACUCGUCUAUUACCACAAAAGUUAAUUAUCUCAAAGCUACUUGCCUAUCAGUUAUGCUUAUUUUUCAAUGGGUUUUUAAAUAACCUCGAGCACCAAAACAACCAGCAAUCAAUCAUGUGAUUCGCCAUAUUCAAGAAAAAAUCCCUACAUAAGUACACACAGAAAGUAAGCUGGAGAUAUAUGUAUAUACACAUCCGAGCGCAGAAAUUUCCAAGAAAUAUCCCAAAAAAAAGAAAGGGGUAAGUACUCGAGCGAAAGAGACAAAUGUUUAACUUCUGACUAAAUAAAGACGAGGGGUGGUUAAGGCAGGUAAAAUAUGAGCAAGAGAGCGCUAAUGGC